rnacentral:rRNA from 1 species
AUUGAACGCUGGCGGCAUGCCUUACACAUGCAAGUCGAACGGUAACAGGUCUUCGGAUGCUGACGAGUGGCGAACGGGUGAGUAAUACAUCGGAACGUGCCCGAUCGUGGGGGAUAACGGAGCGAAAGCUUUGCUAAUACCGCAUACGAUCUACGGAUGAAAGCAGGGGACCGCAAGGCCUUGCGCGGACGGAGCGGCCGAUGGCAGAUUAGGUAGUUGGUGGGAUAAAAGCUUACCAAGCCGACGAUCUGUAGCUGGUCUGAGAGGACGACCAGCCACACUGGGACUGAGACACGGCCCAGACUCCUACGGGAGGCAGCAGUGGGGAAUUUUGGACAAUGGGCGAAAGCCUGAUCCAGCCAUGCCGCGUGCAGGAUGAAGGCCUUCGGGUUGUAAACUGCUUUUGUACGGAACGAAAAGUCUCUUUCUAAUAAAGAGGGUCCAUGACGGUACCGUAAGAAUAAGCACCGGCUAACUACGUG